rnacentral:rRNA from 1 species
GUCAACUUGACUGAAGGAGCAAUCUGACAGUAGAGUGGCGCAAGGGUGCGUAACGCGUAAGUAACUUGCCCAAGGUAAGGAAUAACGUCGAGAAAUCGGCGCUAAUACCUCAUAAUGCAGCGGAUCCGCAUGGAUAUGUUGUUAAAGGUUUACCGCCUUGGGAUAGGCUUGCGUCUGAUUAGUUAGUUGGUGUGGUAACGGCACACCAAGGCUACGAUCAGUAACUGGUCUGAGAGGAUGAUCAGUCACACUGGAACUGAGACACGGUCCAGACUCCAACGGGAGGCAGCAGUGAGGAAUAUUGGGCAAUGCUCGAAAGAGUGACCCAGCAACGCCGCGUGGAGGAUGAAGGUAUUCUAUAUCGUAAACUCCUGUGAGAGCAGACGAAAGACAGAUUAUUAAUCUGGAUGACUGUAUGCUCAGAGGAAGCCCCGGCUAACUACGUG